UAUAUGUGUGUGAAGUUCUAAUCCACUCUUAUACGUAAAAACUUAACCAAGAUUUUUUAAGUCGUAAAAGGGGAAUAAAUAUGAGGAAAAAAAUAUCAGAGGUAUGGGAUUUGUGUUAGUCAUGUUAAAGAACAAGAAUGUCAAUUGAAAUUUUCAUUCAGUAGUUUUUUAGAUACCAACUUGCACACAUAAAAGUAACCUAAGUUUGACGCCAAUGCAGUAAGUACUAUUAUAGCAUUAGCUAUUCAUUGAAUAGUCGAGCUAAAAUGAUUACUAGUAUUUUGGAAAAACAAAGUGAGCAAAUAAUCUGAAAUUUUGCAUACAAAUUUUAUACAUGAAAAAUAAUAUAUCUUCUUCAAAUAGUAUGAAACCUAAACAACAUAACUCCCGUCCUAUCAUGUCAAGAAAUUAAGAAAAUAUUAUCCUCAGUGGAGACCCUUUAACGAUACUGUUUGAAUAAUACUGACUAACAGUAUUAACUUGUACACAUUUAUGGUUUUCCAUAAUUACAAUUUGUAAAUUUUUACAAUCUUUACAAUAUAAAACAAUCAAAGAAGGAAUCUCUAAAAUAUAACAUGUAAAUGGUCCUCAUCUCAAUGAAACAAUUUACUUGUCCUAUAUAUCAUCUAACAGGUAUUUAUAUAUACCAUUCCAUUGUCCUAUAUAUCAUAUAACUGGUGUUGAUAUAAAUAAUUCCAUUGUCUAAAUAUUGUAUAACAGGAAUUUACAUAUAA